CGGGGUCAAGCCGUGGUUCCAUGACGCGGGCGGCGGGGAGAAAGUCGCACGGACUGUGGGAACGGCGCGUCCAUCCAUCGGUUAGACAGAUGGAGAAACUGAGGCCAGAGCCACCAAGAACCUGCUCAGAAACUACAAUCCUUGAGUCUUUUGUCGGGUGGCGAAACUGAGGCUUGGGGAAAGGUGGAAACAGACUCAAGUCUUCACUGCAAGUCUCCUCCCCCUCUAUCUGUCCCCCUCCACAAGCCCCCACGUGACCUCCACCUGCUCUGACAUUCUCCAAGCCCUGUCUCUGGAUCCUUUCCCCUCUCCUGCUGUCUCCACUGGACAAACAUCCGCACUCUACUCCUGCCAAGCCGUCCGCCCUGUGAAGCUUCAGUUGCCACAGCCCACCCCAGGAAGGACCCCCGAAAAGGGAAGCUUCGCCCCUAGUGUUGGGGAUAGGGGGCAUUCAAGAGUCUGUACAAACUGGCCUACUCUCAGAUUGCUGGGGUCAGGUGGCCCUGCCUCAUUCUUCAGAAAACGAAACCAAGUCUCAGAGAGUGUCUUGGAGGUGCUUGGAGGUGAGAAUGCUUGGAGGUGAGACCCAGAACACCCACCUGCUGGUGACAGCAGUCCCCAAGUGCAAGGAGGCUAGGCCUCCUAGCCGAGGCCCCACAGGAGCUCUGGGCUUGACUGUGUCCUGCUGUGUGAUAGCAACCCUCUGCCUGAGCCUUGCUCCAGGGCACUUCACCAGUUUGGGGGUCCCCAGACAAAUGCCACCCAGGUUUCUGGCAGUCCUGGGGGGAUGUGAGAUAUUAUUUCAGGAGAUCGGGCUUCAGUGGGGAGACCCUGACCCUCCCCUGACAUCUCGAUCAUACUGUGGUCCCUCUUGUUUAGAUGAGAAACUGGAGGAGGCUCACAGAGGAGUCAUGCUGGGGCCCAGGAGGACAGGGAGUCUCAAGGGUCUGGCCAGGAACCCCCUUCUGUCCCCAGGGCCCUGCAACCGGACACCUGGUGGGAAUCAGACUCUCUGUCCCCAAGACAAAAAUACCAUCUGUAGCUGCUGUGACUGGACCUAAUUAUAGCUGGUCCCCAGGGGAUAAAGGCCGCCGGGCUCAGCCUAGUGGAGAGACUGGGGUUGGGGCCAAGGCGGCUUGACACCACCCCCAGCCCUGUGGGAGGGGCUCAGGAUGCUCUCGUGGCCCCAAGGAGACACUGAGGCACAGAGAGAUUCAGUCCCUUUCCUGAAUUCACAGAAUAGAAGGUGAAGACUAAACACAUAGGAAUAAACUGAGCAUUUCUUGCUCUUCUGGUGCUGAGCCAAGGGCUGUGUGUGUAAAAGUCAUUUGAUUUUCAGAGCAGCUCUAUAAAGUGGGGGCUGGUAUUCUCAUUUUGUGGAUGGGUAAAUUGAGGCACAGAGAAGGGUGCUUAUUGCCUGAAGUCACUCAAGCCUGGGUUGGCAGGCUCCCCAGCCUCUCCCAACUUAAUGCUUAACUAGCUCCAUCCCCUGAGUUUGAGUAAGCUCCGGGACUUGGUGAUGGACAGGGAACCCUCACGUGCUGCAGUCCAUGGGGCCGCAAAAAGUUGGACACAACUGAGCAACUGAACUGAACUGAGCGCCAUCCCCUGUGUAGUCCCAGAUGCUACUCUGACAUUAAAUGCUUUAUCGAUAA